rnacentral:rRNA from 1 species
AGAGUUUGAUCAUGGCUCAGGAUGAACGCUGGCGGCAUGCCUAAUACAUGCAAGUCGAACGGAAUCUUAUAUGUUCCUCGUUUCGGAUUUAGUUCCGAGUUGGGGAACAAUAAGAUUUAGUGGCGGACGGGUGAGUAACACGUUGGUACCUACCCUCUAGUGGGGGAAUAACUUCGAGAAAUCGAGGCUAAUACCGCAUAAUAUCUACGGAUUAAAGCAUUUAUGCGCUAGAGGAGGGGCCUGCGUCUGAUUAGCUUGUUGGUGAGGUAAAAAGCUCACCAAGGCGACGAUCAGUAGCUGGAUCGAGAGGUUGACCAGCCACACUGGGACUGAGAUACGGCCCAGACUCCUACGGGAGGCAGCAGUAAGGAAUCUUCCACAAUGGGCGAAAGCCUGAUGGAGCAAUGCCGCGUGCAGGAUGACGGCCUUCGGGUUGUAAACUGCUUUUAUAUAGGAAGAUUAUGACGGUACCAUAUGAAUAAGGACCGGCUAACUACGUG